rnacentral:misc_RNA from 1 species
GAUGAAGAACGUAGCGAAAUGCGAUAAGUAAUGUGAAUUGCAGAAUUCAGUGAAUCAUCGAAUCUUUGAACGCACCUUGCACCCUUUGGACUGCUCCAAAGGGUAUGCUCGUUUGAGUGUCAUUGUACUCUCACACUCUCUGAUCCUUUGGAUUUGGGAAGCAGUGGACUUGGGUGCUUGCUGCUUCCUUGUGGCUCACCUGAAAUGCAUCAGUGCAUCUCUCGAUUGGACAUAGUACGGCGUGAUAAGUGUCUUCGCCGGCACCUCAUAUGAGGGUGGCCGAUCGGGAGCUCUGUGCUUUCAAACCGUCUUCGGACAACGCUGACAACUUGACCUCAAAUCGAGUAGGACUACCCGCUGAACUUAAGCAUAUCAAUAAGCGGAGGA